rnacentral:rRNA from 1 species
GAUGAACGCUGGCGGCGUGCUUAACACAUGCAAGUCGAACGGAAAGGCCCUGCUUUUGUGGGGUGCUCGAGUGGCGAACGCGUGAGUAACACGUGAGUAACCUGCCCUUGUCUUUGGGAUAUCUUCAGGAAACUGGGGCUCAUAUCGGAUAGGAGCUCCUGCUGCAUGGGGGGGGUUGGAAAGUUUCGGCGGUUGGGGGUGGUCUCGCUGCUUCUCGGCUUGUUGGUGGGGUAGUGGCUUACCAAGGUUUUGACGGGUAGCCGGCCUGGGGGGGUGACCGGCCACAUUGGGACUGAGAUACGGCCCAGACUGCUACGGGAGGCAGCAGUGGGGAAUAUUGCCCGAUGGGCGGAAGCCUGGUGCAGCAACGCCGCGUGCGGGAUGACGGCCUUCGGGUUGUAGACCGCUUUCGCCUGUGACGAAGCGUGAGUGACGGUAAUGGGUAAAGAAGCACCGGCUAACUACGUG